GCUAGUUUAUGUUGAUCAUGAUCGCCUGACCCAUACUACUUUAGCGGUUCUCGUAUCGGGUGGCCUCGGUAGCUCAAUUAAUACUAAUAGAGCGUUGGCACGGUAAGCCGAAGGUCCGAGGUUCGAACCCCAGUCGAGGCUGCACAUUUUUCCCGAGACUGUUACAUCUGGGGGCUCGUCCGGGAUUCUCACCCUUGGAGCCCAUGCGGGGCGAAACAGUUUGGCUGGGGUGUGCAUCUGAAUUCGGUUAACAGUCUGCGGCAGACACUGGCCAGGAGUGUCAAUAUCUUGAAUAAGAGGGAAAGUGUGUAGCGGUUCUCGUAUCGGGUCGCCUCGAUAGCUCAAUUAAUAGAGCGUUGGCACAGUAAGCCGAAGGUCCGUGGUUUGAAUCCCGGUCGAUGCUAAACAUUUUUCCUGAGACUGUUACACUAGAAACCUUAAUUUCCUCAUACCCCAGUCUCAAACACAGCACCAUCUCAACUCUUUCUUCCCUACUACUUGCUAUCCGCUAGUACUGGAAUACUCUCCCCAAGUCACAUCCAAGCUAGUCCCAGCCUAAAUAUCUUUAUCCUGUUUUCUCAUAUUCUCGGGGGCCUAAGGGGUUGUUUUUAUUCCCAGUAACAGAUUAACCAUUUCAUAAACAGCAUUUGGGUGUUGUUUUGUAGAAAAUUUACUUGUCUUUCAGAUGGAGUCAUAAAAUGUCACUGAAAUUAUCACAUUUAAUUAUUUUGUUUCUGUAUUUGAUAUCCUCACCCACAGAAAUGGACCAAGAGUUUCUCGUAUUCCCGUGGACAAAUAAUUAAGUUGUAGAAAUUAAAACAUUAAAAUUACCAUUGUGUUAUAAAAAGAUAUAUUCUGUAAUAAAUACAUCAAGAAAUAUUACAAUUUACCGGCAUAAUCAAUCUAAUUUAUGGCAAAUUUGCUAACACCACCAGAAAAAAAUAAGGAAUUUUUUGAAAAUUGAGUAAAAUGCUGAUAGUUUCGUCAAUAUGCAUUCAAAUCACUUGAAAUUUUCAGUUUGUCAGUUUUGUACCAUUCCUGUCUAAGAACACAGGCAAUUAUUUGACAACUUGAAGGCAAAAAACGAGAAUAUGAGAAACCCUGAGAAUACAAGAAACAGGGAUACACUGUGAUUUAAUAUAUUUUAUGAUAAAUGCUUUUUCUUACCAAGCUGCCUCUAGGUAAACAAUCCUUUCCAUCAACACCAGAGACUCUGUAUAUUCUGCAGCCGUAGUUGGUUACACACUACACAAAAACCUCGCGUUUUGAAUUGGAUGCUUUCAUUAUUUGUACACGGGGUGGCGGGUGAUCAGUCGCUACAUUCUUAAAUAUUGUAGUAUCUACCGACUAUUAAAAUGAAUGGAUUAAUAAAACUUUUUAACAUUUGUAUAAAGCUUACGGAAUGUUUGUUAUUAUAAACGCCUACAACCGCUGAUUAGAACUUAAAUAAGAAAUGAUGCAUUAACCAAGCUGACACCCCUAAUCUUAGCGUAUUAUGAAAUGGACGCGUCGAUUCAAUUACACAUGACUGGUCCACGACUACUGAGACUUGCGUUUAUGAUUCGAAGAGUGAAAACGGAUACCAGUCGACUACAUACACACGCGUUUGUUUAUUCCUUUGUGUGUUGGAAAUUAUUGAUGGUCCUUCUGUCACUGUCCGUAAUUUAGCGAUUUGCCAAGCAAGCAGCAGAUGGAGUAGAGCAGACCUCUUUUCUCGACUGCAGUGGCUUGGCAUUGGAUGCCCUAAUAAGAAGAUUGACUUGACUUUUUAAUGCGAUUCCGUGUAUCACACAACUUACAAGACAAUAUGUUUCAUUAUAUAUCUAUGAUCAUAUUUAGGAUACAUGUUAAUGACCAUUGUAAGAUUGUGUGUAACAUACAAGACUUGGGCCACUUGCAUCAAGGUCAAGUUCAGAUAUAGAAUUCAGCUGCAUACAGUCUACCACAUAGCUACUAAACCCUAUGAAAGGAGCUGUCGGUAUUUCCAUGGUGCAGCUAUCACCAGUUUCAAAAUGGAAACAGAUGGUGAGUCUCAAGCAAAAAAGAAAAGUGGAUCUCUCCUAACGACUUAAAAGGAUAACAUUAUCUUGCAUAGCAUUUUUCUCCGAAGGGAUUGAUUCAAACAAGCACAUUGUGACAAGUAUCCCACUGAAGGCAAGUUCUACAACAAGGAAGCGGACUCCACCAACCGAAUAUAUCGACGUUCAAAAAGGGCUUAAAUUUGUUUACCGAUCAAAACUAUGCCAUAAGACAUGAAUCGCCCUCCAAUUAAAACAAAACAUAUGGAGAAGUCAGUCACUUUCAAAUCAAGUAACAAUUUAAGAUAUGAGACGAUUCUAAUGAUGACAAUGAAUAUUUAUUUGGUGCUCAUGAAGGCUUUGUCAUUGAUAAGGCAGAUAAGUUGAUUUAAAUUUCUUUGUUUUCAACAAAGAGAAAAGUUGAAAAGAAAAGCAUUUUAGGAGUACUAAAAGAUGUUAUAGAAAUAUUUGAGAUAGAAUGUAAAAACUCGCCCUUCUUAGGGUCUGCUAAUUUAGGGCUAAAAUAAAAUAAAAACAUAUAAUCGACUUCUUUUCGUGAAUUGAUUGAUGGAUUUUUGUCUGUAGCAUUAUUAUAAGGUCCUCGCAUUAAACACGGUUGGGGUUAUAGGAAUGGUCUCCUUCUGACAUAUAUGAGCCAUAUAACUCAAACCUAGACUAAAAGAUUUUUAGCUAACCUUAGCACGAAGUGCUCAAAGUUGAGCUUUUGUGAUCGCCCUGUGUCUGUCGUCGUCAACAAUUUGACUGUUAACACUCUAGAAGUCACAAUUUUGGUCUAAUCUUAAUGAAACUUGGUCAGAAUGUUACCCUCAAUAAAAACUUGGACGUGUUCGAUAAUGGGUCAUCUGGGGUCAAAAACUAGGUCACCAGGUCAAAUCAAAGGAAAAGCUUGUUAACACUCUAGAGGUCACAAUUUUGGCUCAAUCAUAAUGAAACUUGGUAGAAAUGUUACCCCAAAUAAAAUCUUGGACAAGUUCGAUUUUGUGUAAUCUGGUUUCAAAAACUAGGUCACAAGGUCAAAUAUAAAAGCAAGGAGUGGACGGCUAGAGGGAAGGAAAAAGCCGCAAAACUAUUGGCAGGGCUCCAGAUAAGAUAAAUAUUAGCGUAAAUUACGCUUUGAAAUAAUGCAUAUACGCAUGUGCGAUCAUUUUUAAGCGUAUAAAAACGUACAAGAAAUUACAGAAACUCCUGCAAUGACUUUUUACUAGCGUAAACAAACUCUGAAUCAUCUAAAGUCUUUACGUAACAAAGCACGGUCAGCAUUAAUUCUCCCACACGAAACGUACACACGCAUUGAAUGGUACUUUAUAAGUUAAACUAUAUUAUAUACCCAAUGCAUUCGUAAGUCAAAUAGUUGGGAAACAAUAUUGAUGGUACGAUAGUGUAUUCUAAAGCGGUGUCGAUCUGAGAUUGUAAAAAGUGAACAAACACUACGCAUCUUUAAACCAACAAGAACGAUCAUUAAAACAUAUUUAAAGCUAUAUUGACUAUUCUAUUGGAUUCAGUAGCGGUAUUGUAAGCAAAAGUAAACCAAGGGAGAACAAAAAGCAAAAACUUGAAUGCUGAAUUGAAUUCCAUGCAGAACCGAAAGGAAAAACUUUAAAAAUCUUCUUCUCAAAAACAAGAAGCCCUAGAGCUUAGAUAUUUGGUGUGAAGCAUUGCCUAGUUGACUCUACCAAAUUUGUUCAAAUCAUGACCAUGGGGUCAAAAUUGACCCCGCCCCAGGGGUCACUUGAUUUUACAUAGGAAAAUCUUAAAAAUCUUCUUCUCAAAAACCAGAAGCCCUAGAGCUUAGAUAUUUGCUAUGUAGCAUUGCCUAGUGGACCUCUACUAAAGUUGUUCAAAUCAUGACCCCGGGAUCAAAAUUGACCCCGCCCCAGAGGUCAUUUGAUUUUACAUAGAUUUCUAUAGGAAAAUAUUGAAAUUUUUUUUAAAAAAUAAACCAGAAGGCCUAGAGCUUAGAUAUUUGACAUGUAGCAUUGCCUAGUGGACCUCUACAAAAUGUGUUCAAAUCGUGACCCCCGGGGUCAAAAUUGACCCCGCCCCAGGGGUCACUUGAUUUUAUAUAGGAAAAUCUUCAAAAUUUUUCUAAAAAUAAACCCGAAGGCCUAGAUCUUAGAUAUUUGACAUGAAGCAUUGCCUAGUAGACUUCUACAAAAUUUGUUCAAAUCAUGACCCCCAGGGUCAAAUUGACCCCGCCCCAUGGGGUUACUUGAUUGUACAUAGAAAAAUCUUCAAAAUUUUCCAAAAAUAAACCAGAAGGCCUAGAGCCUAGAUAUUUGACAUGUAGCAUUGCCUAGUGGACCUCUAGAAAAUUGUUAAAAUCAUGACCCCCGGGUCAUAAUUGACCCCGCCCCAGGGGUCACUUGAUUUUAUAUAGGAAAAUCUUCAAGAUUUUUCUAAAAAUAAACCAGAAGUCCUAGAUCUUAGGUAGUUGACAAGUAGCAUUGCCUAGUAGACUUCUACAAAAUUUGUUCAAAUCAUGACCCCUGAGGUCCAAGUGAGCCUGCCCCAUUGGGGUUACUUGAUUGUACAUAGAAAAAUCUUCAAAAUUUGCUAAAAAUAAACCAGAAGGCCUAGAUCUUAGAUAUUUGAUAUGUAACAUUGCCUAGUAGACUUCUACAAACUUUGUUCAAAUCAUGAUCCCUGGGGUAAAAUUGGCCCUGCCCCAGGGGUUACUUGAUUAUACAUCGGAAAAUCUUCCAAAAAAUUUCUAAAAAUCAUCUGUUCGACAUUUGAAACAUGUAGCUCAUAAUACUCAGGUGAGCGAUCCAGGGUCAUCAUGACCCUCUUGUUUAGAGAAACUGCCAAAUUGUAGCUGAAUUGCUGAAAUUUUGCAACCUUUUAAUAAAUUCUUGUAACCACUUCAUGGUGAGCUUUUGUAACUGCUCUAUUUCCUUCAUGGGUUAUCCAUCGGUCAACAAUUUGUAAAAAAUUUACUUCAAAAUCACAGGGCAUAUUUACACCAAACUUAACAGGAAUUAUCCUUAGGUGACCCCCUACCAAAAUUGUUUAAAGAAUUCAUUUUCAUUUUUGGAAUUGUAUAUUUCAUUGUUUGAUAUUACUGUCUACAAAACAGAAUAUGUUUUACUGUAACAUUUACAUGAUGGGCAUAUAUUGUAUAUAAUUUUUACCUCAACUAUACGAAGAAUAAGGUGGGCUAUCCUACUCAACCUGGCAUUGGCGUCUUUCCGCGUCCCCACCUUAGUUGAAGUUUUUUUACACUUUCUUUUUUAGCUCACCUGUCACAUAGUGACAAGGUGAGCUUUUGUGAUCACCCUUCGUCCGUCGUCAGUCCGUGCGUGCGUCAACAAUUUCUUGUCUGCACGAUAGUGGUUUCAUUUAUGCUUUUAUUUUAACCAAACUUGCACACAACUUGUAUCACCAUGAGAUCUCGGUUCCUUUCUUGAGCUGGCCAGAUCCCAUUAUGGGUUCCAGAGUUAUGGCCCCUGAAAGGACCAAAAUCAGCUAUUUUGACCUUGUCUGCACAAUAGCAGCUUUAUUUUUGAUUUGAUUUUUACCAAACUGGCACACAACUUGUAUCACCAUAAGAUCUUGGUUCCUUUCUUGAACUGGCCAGAUUCCAUUAUGGGUUCCAGAGUUAUGGCCCCUGAAAAGGCCAGAAUUAGCUAUUUUGACCGUGUCUGCACAAUAGCAGCUUCAUUUAUGAUUUUAUUUUAACGAAACUUGCACACAACUUGUAUCACCAUAAGAUCUUGGUUCCUUUCUUGAACUGGCGAGAUUCCAUUAUGGGUUCCAGAGUGAUGGCCCCUGAAAGGGCCAGAAUUAGCUAUUUUGACCUUGUCUGCACAAUAGCAGCUUCAUUUAUGAUUUGAAUUUAAUCAAACUUGCACAAAACUUGUGUCACCAUAAGAUCUCGGUUCCUUUUUUGAAUCGGCCAGAUCCCCUAAUGGGUUCCAGAGUUAUGGCCCCUGAAAGGUCCAAAAUUAAAUAUUUUGACCUUGUCUGCACAAUAGCAGCUUCAUUUAUGAUUUUAUUUUAACCAAAGUUGCACACAACUUGUAUCACCACAAGAUCUUGCUUCCUUUCUUCAGCUGGCCAGAUUCCAUUAUGGGUUCCAGAGUUAUGGCCCCUUAAAGGUCCAAAAUUUGCUAUUUUGGCUUUUGCAGCCAUAUAGAGACUUCAUUUAUGGUUUUAUUUGAUACAAACUUCCAAAAUAUCUUCAACAACAAUAAAUCUUGGAUUCCAUGACAAAUCAGAUCCAGUCGUAGGUUCCAGAGUUAUUUUAUAUCUGAUUACCUCCCCUGAUUGUAAUCAAAAUGGAUUUAUAUCAGUAAGUACUUAUAGGACUUAUUUGAAAUUUCAUCAUUGUUAUUAGUUGGACUGAGACAAACAGGGUAGAUAACUAUGAACUGAUUUUAUGUCAAAUUACCUCCCUUUAUUAAUCCCCCGCCGUGGCGGAGAGAUUAUAGAAAUGGUCUGCGUCCAUCCUUCCGUUCGUAACAAAAUCAUGUCCGGUCCAUAUCUCCUAAACCCCUUGAAGGAUUUUCAUGAAACUUGGCUCAAAUGAUCACCUCAUCAAGACGAUGUGCAGAACCCAUGAGUCAGCCUUGUCGGUUCAAGGUCAAGGUCACAACUCAAGGUCGAAGGUUUGAGCCUUCCAUUUUGUGUCCGCUCUAUAUCUCUUAAACCCCUUGAAGGAAUUUUAUAAAACUUUGGUCAAAUGAUCACCUCAUCAAGACAAUGUGCAGAACCCAUGAGUCAGCCAUGCCGGCUCAAGGUCAAGGUCACAACUGAAGGUCAAAGGUUUGAGCCUUCCAUUUCGUGUCCG